GAGAUGGGAUGAGGCUUUGAGAUCCGUGCAAAUAUAAUGGUAUGCUUCGAGAUAUGAGAGACAAAUAAUUAAAGGGAUUUUAUUGUCUUUGAGAUUAAAAUAAAGCAAUUGGAUUAUGUGGAAGAAGAGUUGGAACGAGUGGAAAGAAAUUUAAGUGACUGAAUCAGAGGAUCUUGAUUUGCGGGGUGCAUGCGAUUUGGGUUCAGAGAUCAUCCUAAAUCAAUUCGACN
rnacentral:lncRNA from 1 species